rnacentral:rRNA from 1 species
AAGACGGAAAGACCCCGUGAACCUUUACUAUAGCUUGACACUGAACAUUGAGCCUUGAUGUGUAGGAUAGGUGGGAGGCUUUGAAGCGUGGACGCCAGUCUGCGUGGAGCCAACCUUGAAAUACCACCCUUUAAUGUUUGAUGUUCUAACGUGGACCCGUGAUCCGGGUUGCGGACAGUGUCUGGUGGGUAGUUUGACUGGGGCGGUCUCCUCCUAAAGAGUAACGGAGGAGCACGAAGGUUGGCUAAUCCUGGUCGGACAUCAGGAGGUUAGUGCAAUGGCAUAAGCCAGCUUGACUGCGAGCGUGACGGCGCGAGCAGGUGCGAAAGCAGGUCAUAGUGAUCCGGUGGUUCUGAAUGGAAGGGCCAUCGCUCAACGGAUAAAAGGUACUCCGGGGAUAACAGGCUGAUACCGCCCAAGAGUUCAUAUCGACGGCGGUGUUUGGCACCUCGAUGUCGGCUCAUCACAUCCUGGGGCUGAAGUAGGUCCCAAGGGUAUGGCUGUUCGCCAUUUAAAGUGGUACGCGAGCUGGGUUUAGAACGUCGUGAGACAGUUCGGUCCCUAUCUGCCGUGGGCGCUGGAGAACUGAGGGGGGCUGCUCCUAGUACGAGAGGACCGGAGUGGACGCAUCACUGGUGUUCGGGUUGUCAUGCCAAUGGCACUGCCCGGUAGCUAAAUGCGGAAGAGAUAAGUGCUGAAAGCAUCUAAGCACGAAACUUGCCCCGA